GACGAACGCUGGCGGCGUGCUUAACACAUGCAAGUCGAGCGAUGAAUUUUCUUCGGAAAUGGAUUAGCGGCGAACGGGUGAGGAACACGUGAAGAAUCUGCCCUCCACUUUGGGAUAACACAGGGAAACCUGUGCUAAUACCGAAUAUUGAAACAUAAGUGGCAUCACUGAGUUUUGAAAGAAUUUCGGUGGAGGAUGACUUCGCGGCCUAUCAGCUAGUUGGUGAGGUAAUGGCUCACCAAGGCAACGACGGGUAGCCGGCCUGAGAGGGCGACCGGCCACACUGGGACUGAGACACGGCCCAGACUCCUACGGGAGGCAGCAGUGGGGAAUAUUGGGCAAUGGAGGAAACUCUGACCCAGCGACGCCGCGUGCGGGAUGAAGGCCUUCGGGUUGUAAACCGCUUUCAGUAGGGAAGAAGCGAAAGUGACGGUACCUACAAAAGAAGCACCGGCUAACUAUGUGCCAGCAGCCGCCGCGG
rnacentral:rRNA from 1 species